CUUGUGCUUUCCUCUCCGGGGCGUUGUGGAUACAACAGAAAACGAAAUGUCUUCAAUUUCUUGCACUAAGCUCACACUAUUCAGCAUCGCAGCAGUUAUCAUUCAGUUCAUUGGUCUCAGCAUAUUCGUUUUCGGUUUCUUCCCCGUCAAACCAGUUCUCUCCGGCCACAGUGGAUCCGAGAGUUUCCGACGACCGACCUGCAAUAACAACGGCGUCGCAAAUCAGAGCGAUCCGUCUCUGCCUCCAGAUCGCCUUAGGUUUUUGUAUCAGGAAGUAUCUGAGAUCCUUCCUUUAUAUGAUCGACUCGUCUUAAUGGUCAUUGAUGGUCUGCCAGCAGAAUUUGUGCUUGGUAAGAAGGGUCAGCCUCCUAAUAAGACUUUUAUGGAAGCUAUGCCUUAUACACAGUCGUUGUUGGCAAAUGGCAUGGCUGUUGGGUAUCAUGCAAUUGCUGCUGCUCCAACCGUUACCAUGCCCCGAUUGAAGGCCAUGGUUUCUGGAGCAAUUGGGGGUUUCCUGGAUGUUGCUUUCAACUUUAACACCCAGGCAUAUUUAGAUGACAAUCUUCUUGCACAGUUCUUUAAGAUUGGAUGGAAAAUCAUUAUGCAUGGUGAUGAUACAUGGCUCAAGUUAUUUCCUGGUUUAUUUGAAAGAUAUGACGGAGUUAGCAGUUUUUUUGUUAAAGAUACUGUACAAGUAGAUCAAAAUGUGUCUCGACAUCUUGGUGAUGAACUUAGCAGAGAUGAUUGGAAUUUUCUGAUACUUCAUUAUCUAGGCUUGGAUCAUGUUGGACAUAUUGGUGGACGCAACAGUGUAUUAAUGGCUUCAAAACUUUUUGAAAUGGAUGAAGUAGUGAAGAUGAUCCAUAUUAAUUCUUUGCGAAAUCUAGAAAAGGAUCAAGGGCAGACACUUCUGGUUGUGGUCAGUGACCAUGGAAUGACUGAGAAUGGGAAUCAUGGGGGUUCAUCCUACGAGGAAACAGACUCUAUAGCUCUAUUUAUUGGUCCAAAAACCCAUGCCUCUGGCCAGGCAUCAUCCAAUUAUGACACAAUUUUUCAGGUUGAUAUUGCACCAACAUUAGCUUUACUUUUUGGCGUGCCAAUUCCAAAAAAUAAUAUUGGUGUUCUGAUCUCUGAAAUGGUUGACUCUCUGACAGAUGACCAAAAGUUGAGGGCACUGCAGUUGAACUCAUGGCAGCUAUUCCGAUUACUUCAAGCACAAUUGCCUGGUUUGUCUUGCAGAAAUUUUCCAUGUGAUGCUUUUGUUACUAAUAGUGGACCCACAGUUAGUGAAUGUAAAGGUAGCAAGGAGAAAUUGUUUUGUUGCUUGUAUUUAAAUGCUGCUACUCUUCAUGAUGCCUGGAAGGCUAAAGUCAUCAUCAGUACAGAAGGCUAUAACAGCAUCGUUAGAGCAUAUCAUGAGUUUCUGAGCAUGGCAAGUGAGUGGCUAUCACACAAAGCAACUGAUAAACCAAUUAAUUUACUAGUUUUUGGAGUUGCUGCUUUGAUCAUAUCAUGCUUAAUACUUCUGAGACUUGUAUUUGUCAUCCACAAAGAAGUUCCUGCUUUGGAGACACAAAGCAUUGACAAUUAUUCAAAGCCAUGGAAAAUGGAUGAGGUUUUCAUUUUGUUUGGUAUCCUGAUCCUUGUCAUCAGUAUGGGAUCAAGUUCCAUGAUUGAGGAAGAGCAUUAUAUCUGGCAUUUCCUAACAUCCACAAUCACCCUGUUAUUUUUUCGGAAAGCAAUACAGUCUUUGGACCUUAAUAAAGCACGUGAUUUUCUCAGUUCAGUAAAGGAACAAAACAAUACAUCAGGAUGCCAAAUGAUUUCACUGUUUCUUAUUCUUCUUUCUGGGAGAAUUUUGAGAGGCUGGCGUCAAGGUGGUGUAAAUUGGACUCACCUUCCUGACAUUUCUAAGUGGCUAGAGCAGGCUGGCAGCCAAUAUAUAAACUUGAUUCAGAUAGCAUCAUGUGUCAUGGUCAUCAUUUUGGGCAUACUUAUUUUGUUCUUACUGAAAUCUAAAACAAAAGUUGUAAUGGUUUUUGGGUUCUGCUUGUUAAUGUCUGGUUUUUUGGUAUUACGACACUUUGUAAAACAUCAGAACAUGUCUGCCUCAUACAAUAAGGAUGCCAAUUUAUCAGUACAACUAUUCUAUGCCAUUCUGGGAAUCACCAUUAUUACAGUUGUAUUGGUUUUGCCAUGGAUAUUGCCUAUGCAAACUCCUGGAAUGUGCUCAAGGCAAAACUUAUACAAGUCUGCUUCUGCUCCAGUUGAAAUUCUAAACAUGACACCAAUUUUUGUAUUAAAGGAUUCCUUGUACAUUGCUGGAUGUGUGUACACAACUUCUUGGUGUCUUCUGCAGUUUUUGCUUCAAAAACCCGUAAACGUGAUGCCUAUGUUGUUGCUCUUUGUUCAAGUCUUGGCCAGCAUACUUAUUUUUUCUUCUAGUGGGACACGUCAUAAGUGGGUUGAGAUUACUGCUCUGUACAACCUGGGAAUGGCAGGCCAUUUUGCUCUUGGGAACAGUAAUACGCUGGCUACUAUUGAUGUGGCUGGAGCUUUUAUCGGAAUUUCAAGUCACUCAACCUUCCUUUCAGGUCUUCUAAUGUUCAUCAUUACUUAUGCAUCUCCAAUGUUAUUUUCUCUCAGUAUGGUGCUGUACAUCUCUGUGAAGGUCACAAUCUGUCCACUAAUUACCAAGGAUGGAAAUUCUGGAGAAAUUCUCAAGACCCUUCUUGGUUUUCCUUGCCUAGUACCUCUCAGCAUAAAUUCUGUUCUCUUGACUGCAUACACGAUUGUUUUGCUGUUGAUGAGAAAUCAUUUAUUUAUUUGGAGUGUCUUUUCUCCCAAGUACCUUUAUGUUUGUGCUGCAACUGCAUGCGUCUAUAUUGGGGUCUUCAUUGUAGUUGCUACUGUGAUUCAUACUUACAUUGUGCUUUUUGGGCUGAGAAAGAGUUUCUUCACACGUAACAAGGAAAAUGAGGGGAAGCAGGUGGAAUAUAGCAGUCUGAUACCCCUCUGUGCCUGCCUCUGGCUAAUCAUUUACUGUUGAAUUCUUAUUCGUUGAUGAAGUAGGAUAUAACCGAUUGGUUUCGCACACUGAUUGAGUUUUCAUUGUUUAUCAAUCAUCAUUUGGUCUUGCCUGUUAAAUUGCUAUUGAUGGUUAGUAGGGUCUCCAGAUCACCAGGACAUGUAAAUGAGCAGUUUCACCACUCACCUCAGAAAUGAUGGAAUUAUAGUGAUUUUCUUUCGAGUGAAUAUUUUUUAAGCCAAACUUGUUUUGAUUUAGUUUAAUUCAAAAUGGAAUGUAUUUGCUGGACCCGGAUUCCCUGCUGUAACUGAUUACUGUAGGGUGCAGUUGACGCCAGAAAAUGAGAGAAUUCGAGGCUGUAUUUGCUUCAGUUCUUAUGGAACCCCCCCCCCCCCCAAUCAAGACACCAGAUAACGAUCAUAUAGGAAUAGUUUCUUUAUUUGGUCUUGGUACCGGACAACAAAUCAAUAAAUAAAACGUUUUUAUUAGAAAUUACAUCAAGGUGUAUUGAAAAUUUGGGGGAGAGUGCAUUAAUAACACUAUUUAAUUAUUAUUAUUUUUAUUACAUAAUGAGUGGCCUUAACAUUUACCCUUUUUAUUUUCUCUAUCCUGGACAGUUGUACAACAGUUUACUCUCAUCAUCCUUUGUUUUCAGUCAUUUUAUACGUUAUGUGCCUUGUAUCUUUCAAUUCAUUGCAAAAUCACUUCCUUCUGCAUUUUUGUUUUUUCCUGAGUAUUUAUGGAGCAGUGUAGCUUUGCCAAUAUUUGCUAUUUGAAUUAACUGCAUAUGGAAGAAUGUUCUUGUUGAAUCUGCUGUCCCUACUGAAAAUGGUUGCACUUAAAUCAGUUUUCUUGAGAGUCAAUUUUUGUGGGGAGGGAGGAAAAGGAAGGAAGGAGAAGACUUAUUUGAUGACAAUUCUUGUUUGAAACUUUUUAAAUUAAAGAGGGGUUUUAUAAAAUUCUUCAAAAUUCUCCUAUUUCCAUGUUUUUAAGUUUUCUUAAAUUGAGAAAUUUUUUAUGAACUUUAUUUCUUCUUCCCUUUUCUUUUCCUCUUUUACCCUAUCAUUUUUUCUCCCUCGAAACUUCCCUACAAAGCCUAAAGGACCUAACAAUGGUGUCAUGUCAAAACUGAUAAAAUAGAUAGCUAAUCUUUACAGCCUGACCUUAAUCAAAUAGAUAUUAGUGUUUGAUCUCUGCUAAAAGCUCUUUGAUGAUCUAUUAGCAGAGUACACAUGGGCAAUAGCAUUACUGAAAAAACUGUUGAUUUUCUUCAUAAUAUAAAUGAAUUAUAUUAUUACUUGUUUUGCUUUGGUACAUGAGUAAAGUAUGAUUCGAUAGGCUUUGCUUCAGGCAUUCAGCCCAUCUUAUUAGUAUUUAUUUUCUUUGGUCAAAUUAGUAUAUCACCGGGUUUUUGACUAGGGUACGCCGUUGCGUGAUGCGCCGGGCCCAUUACUUUUACAACAUCUAGAUGAAGUAGGAUAUGGUCUACAAGACUGGUCAACUAUCUUAACUCCGCUUUGUUGGAAAAAGUAGUUAUUUUGGUAAAAAUUGCGGGAAUUUCUUUUAAGAACAUAGAAACAAGGAAAGCCCAACAUUGUAAUAGGCUUACGGGCUUAGCAUUUCUGGCUCAACCUCGACUUGUUCACGCCUCACAUCGUAAAGAUUCAGACCUGAAUGAAUAUGUAAGCAAAAUAUUAAACUCAGAACGUGCUUCAUAUUAUACUUGUAAAUGCUUUACAUAUAUUAAAUUAAUAUAUUUUAGUGAUUCACUGCCAGUACUAUUUCCAUUCCAAAAUACAUAUCAGGUUAGUUGGUAAAAGUAUAAAAAGAAGAUAAAUGAUAUUUUUGCUUCACAACAAAUUUUAUG